rnacentral:rRNA from 1 species
UUCGACGGAGAGUUUGAUCCUGGCUCAGGACGAACGCUGGCGGCGGGCCUAACACAUGCAAGUCGAACGCACUCGACCUUCGGGUCACAUGAGUGAGUGGCGAACGGGUGAGUAACACGUGAGAAACCUGCCCCGAAGACUGGAAUAACCCGAGGAAACUCGGGCUAAUACCGGAUGCCCCCACCGGAUCGCAUGGUCUGGUGAGGAAAUGCUCCGGCGCUUCGGGAGGGUCUCGCGGCCUAUCAGCUAGUUGGUGAGGUAAUGGCUCACCAAGGCAUCGACGGGUAGCUGGUCUGAGAGGACGAUCAGCCACACUGGGACUGAGACACGGCCCAGACUCCUACGGGA